UACGAAGGGGGCUAGCGUUGUUCGGAAUUACUGGGCGUAAAGGGCGCGUAGGCGGCGCGGCAAGUCAGGCGUGAAAUCCCCGGGCUCAACCUGGGAACUGCGCUUGGUACUGUCGUGCUAGAGACCGGGAGAGGAUGGCGGAAUACCCAGUGUAGAGGUGAAAUUCGUAGAUAUUGGGUAGAACACCGGUGGCGAAGGCGGCCAUCUGGACCGGAUCUGACGCUGAGGCGCGAAAGUGUGGGUAGCAAACAGG
rnacentral:rRNA from 1 species